GCCUGACUGUAAACUACUAGCCAAAAAAGUACUGGCCCACGCUUCAAACUUUAAGGACCUGGCGGUACUCUAUAUCAACCUAGAGGGGCCUGCCCUGUAACCGAUAACCCACGAAGAACCUCACCACCCCUCGCCUUCAGCCUAUAUACCGCCGUCUUCAGCACAUUUCACAAAAAAUGAAGCCCGAUAGUACCUCGCACUAAUACGUCAGGUCAAGGUGUAGCCAAUGAGGUGGAAAAAAGCGGACCACACUAUAAUAACACACAGAAACCCUAUUGAAACAUAGGGUGAAAGACGAAUUUAGCAGUAAGAGGGCCGAAUGCCCCACUGAACCAAACCCGCCCUAGAGUACGC
rnacentral:rRNA from 1 species